GACGAACUUUGGCGGCGUGCUUAACACAUGCAAGUCGAACGGAAAGGCCCUGCUUUUGUGGGGUGCUCGAGUGGCGAACGGGUGAGUAACACGUGAGUAACCUGCCCUUGACUUUGGGAUAACUUCAGGAAACUGGGGCUAAUACCGGAUAGGAGCUCCUGCUGCAUGGUGGGGGUUGGAAAGUUUCGGCGGUUGGGGAUGGACUCGCGGCUUAUCAGCUUGUUGGUGGGGUAGUGGCUUACCAAGGCUUUGACGGGUAGCCGGCCUGAGAGGGUGACCGGCCACAUUGGGACUGAGAUACGGCCCAGGCUCCUACGGGAGGCAGCAGUGGGGAAUAUUGCACAAUGGGCGGGAGCCUGAUGCAGCAACGCCGCGUGCGGGAUGACGGCCUUCGGGUUGUAGACCGCUUUCGCCUGUGACGAAGCGUGAGUGACGGUAAUGGGUAAAGAAGCACCGGCUAACUACGUGCCAGCAGCCGCGGUGAUACGUAGGGUGCGAGCGUUGUCCGGAUUUAUUGGGCGUAAAGGGCUCGUAGGUGGUUGAUCGCGUCGGAAGUGUAAUCUUGGGGCUUAACCCUGAGCGUGCUUUCGAUACGGGUUGACUUGAGGAAGGUAGGGGAGAAUGGAAUUCCUGGUGGAGCGGUGGAAUGCGCAGAUAUCAGGAGGAACACCAGUGGCGAAGGCGGUUCUCUGGGCCUUUCCUGACGCUGAGGAGCGAAAGCGUGGGGAGCGAACAGGCUUAGAUACCCUGGUAGUCCACGCUGUAAACGGUGGGUACUAGGUGUGGGGUCCAUUCCACGGGUUCCGUGCCGUAGCUAACGCUUUAAGUACCCCGCCUGGGGAGUACGGCCGCAAGGCUAAAACUCAAAGGAAUUGACGGGGCCCCGCACAAGCGGCGGAGCAUGCGGAUUAAUUCGAUGCAACGCGUAGAACCUUACCUGGGUUUGACAUGGAUCGGGAGUGCUCAGAGAUGGGUGUGCCUCUUUUGGGGUCGGUUCACAGGUGGUGCAUGCCUGUCGUCAGCUCGUGUCGUGAGAUGUUGGGUUAAGUCCCGCAACGAGCGCAACCCUUGUUCACUGUUGCCAGCACGUUAUGGUGGGGACUCAGUGGAGACCGCCGGGGUCAACUCGGAGGAAGGUGGGGAUGACGUCAAGUCCUCAUGCCCCUUAUGUCCAGGGCUUCACGCAUGCUACAAUGGCUGGUACAGAGAGUGGCGAGCCUGUGAGGGUGAGCGAAUCUCGGAAAGCCGGUCUCAGUUCGGAUUGGGGUCUGCAACUCGACCUCAUGAAGUCGGAGUCGCUAGUAAUCGCAAAUCAGCAACGCUGCGGUGAAUACGUUCCCGGGGC
rnacentral:rRNA from 1 species